rnacentral:rRNA from 1 species
GACGAACGCUGGCGGCGUGCUUAACACAUGCAAGUCGAGCGGUAAGGCCCUUUCGGGGGUACACGAGCGGCGAACGGGUGAGUAACACGUGGGUGACCUGCCCUCAGCUCUGGGAUAAGCCUGGGAAACCGGGUCUAAUACUGGAUAUGACUCCAUGACGCAUGUUGUGGGGUGGAAAGCCUUGUGCGGCUGAGGAUGGGCCCGCGGCCUAUCAGCUUGUUGGUGGGGUGANGGCCUACCAAGGCGACGACGGGUAGCCGGCCUGAGAGGGCGACCGGCCACACUGGGACUGAGACACGGCCCAGACUCCUACGGGAGGCAGCAGUGGGGAAUCUUGCGCAAUGGGCGAAAGCCCUGACGCAGCGACGCCGCGUGAGGGAUGACGG